AAGAGUAUAGUUCAAAUGGGUAAAAUAGGAGGAUUCAACCCUCAAAGUCUCAGUUCAAGUCUGAGUUUUUUGG